AGCACAGUAAGAGCUUGCUCUUAUGGGUGGCGAGUGGCGGACGGGUGAGGAAUACAUCGGAAUCUACUUUUUCGUGGGGGAUAACGUAGGGAAACUUACGCUAAUACCGCAUACGACCUACGGGUGAAAGCAGGGGAUCUUCGGACCUUGCGCGAUUGAAUGAGCCGAUGUCGGAUUAGCUAGUUGGCGGGGUAAAGGCCCACCAAGGCGACGAUCCGUAGCUGGUCUGAGAGGAUGAUCAGCCACACUGGAACUGAGACACGGUCCAGACUCCUACGGGAGGCAGCAGUGGGGAAUAUUGGACAAUGGGCGCAAGCCUGAUCCAGCCAUACCGCGUGGGUGAAGAAGGCCUUCGGGUUGUAAAGCCCUUUUGUUGGGAAAGAAAUCCAGCCGGUUAAUACCUGGUUGGGAUGACGGUACCCAAAGAAUAAGCACCGGCUAACUUCGUGCCAGCAGCCGCGGUAAUACGAAGGGUGCAAGCGUUACUCGGAAUUACUGGGCGUAAAGCGUGCGUAGGUGGUUGUUUAAGUCUGUUGUGAAAGCCCUGGGCUCAACCUGGGAACUGCAGUGGAAACUGGACAACUAGAGUGUGGUAGAGGGUAGCGGAAUUCCCGGUGUAG
rnacentral:rRNA from 1 species